GCAGAACUCUGAGGAAUAGCAACAUGGUUAAAAUAAGAGAGCCUAUGAAUAAGAAGGAAGCAGCUGUCAGGGACGUAGAAGCAGAACCAAGAGAAUAUAGUGGGAAAGAUCAUUAAAGAGGUUGGGGGCCCAUGCUGCUGGAGGCUUUAGUAAUAUAGACAUGGAAAAACUUCCAUUCACUUCUCAAUUCACUUCUUCUUCCAUUCACUCUCAAAGUCAUUGGUAGGCCCAUCAAAAAUAACUCCCCAAAACAUGGACCAGUAGAAAGGGGCAGAAGCCACGGGGCAUUAGUCUUAGGAACAAACGGGAGAUGGCCAAGUGGGGGAGAGAGUGAAGACAGUCUAGAAGGGGUUAUGGAAGAACACCACCCCACCCCCAAGGAGAGCAGCAGAGGAUCAGGAACCCAUGCGAGAAGCUCCCCGCUAUUACACUCCCGACCCAAAUAACCAAGAUGCCAACAAGCAAAUACGAGUCUCGGAAAAUCUUCCAUCAAGCACUCACCAGCAGUCUAUCAUCCUAUUCCUCCACUUGGCUACUUCCUAGACUCAUCAACCAGUGAAGGAGAAAUGUAACCUUGAUCCCCA
rnacentral:lncRNA from 1 species